rnacentral:rRNA from 1 species
GUCCAGACUCCUACGGGAGGCAGCAGUGGGGAAUAUUGCACAAUGGGGGAAACCCUGAUGCAGCGACGCCGCGUGAGUGAAGAAGUAUUUCGGUAUGUAAAGCUCUAUCAGCAGGAAAGAAAAUGACGGUACCUGACUAAGAAGCCCCGGCUAACUACGUGCCAGCAGCCGCGGUAAUACGUAGGGGGCAAGCGUUAUCCGGAUUUACUGGGUGUAAAGGGAGCGUAGACGGUGAAGCAAGUCUGAAGUGAAAGGCGGGGGCUCAACCCCCGGACUGCUUUGGAAACUGUUUGACUGGAGUGCAGGAGAGGUAAGUGGAAUUCCUAGUGUAGCGGUGAAAUGCGUAGAUAUUAGGAGGAACACCAGUGGCGAAGGCGGCUUUCUGGACUGUAACUGACACUGAGGUACGAAAGCGUGGGGAGCAAACAGGAUUAGAUACCCGAGUAA